GAUGAACGCUGGCGGCGUGCCUAAUACAUGCAAGUCGAGCGAAUGGAUUAAGAGCUUGCUCUUAUGAAGUUAGCGGCGGACGGGUGAGUAACACGUGGGUAACCUGCCCAUAAGACUGGGAUAACUCCGGGAAACCGGGGCUAAUACCGGAUAACAUUUUGAACCGCAUGGUUCGAAAUUGAAAGGCGGCUUCGGCUGUCACUUAUGGAUGGACCCGCGUCGCAUUAGCUAGUUGGUGAGGUAACGGCUCACCAAGGCAACGAUGCGUAGCGGACCUGAGAGGGUGAUCGGACACACUGGGACUGAAAAACGGCCCAGACUCCUACGGGAGGCAGCAGUAGGGAAUCUUCCGCAAUGGACGAAAGUCUGACGGAGCAACGCCGCGUGAGUGAUGAAGGCUUUCGGGUCGUAAAACUCUGUUGUUAGGGAAGAACAAGUGCUAGUUGAAUAAGCUGGCACCUUGACGGUACCUAACCAGAAAGCCACGGCUAACUACGUGCCAGCAGCCGCAGUAA
rnacentral:rRNA from 1 species